ensembl:lncRNA
CUCAUCCUGGAAUCUAUUUGCUUUAGAAAGUUGCAUUCUCCUUCAUGAUGUGGUUCAAAGUUGCCUCUUUUGGCAAUCUGAAAAGAAACCAUGGUAUUUGUGGUUUCUGACAAGUAAACAUCCACAGAUGUCUUUGCCCUUUCCAGUAAUUUCCAUGCCUCUGUUUUGUAGCCAUAUUUUCCCAUGUUGAUGGUGAUGAAAGCUUGGUUGUACAUUGCCACGGCACUGUAAAAAGGGGUCACAUUCUUCAACAUCUUUCCAGUAGGACUUUGCUUCAUAGUCACACUUACUUUUGUUGCUGAGGUGCAUGUCUGUUCUGCCGGUAGCCUGCUUAAUGUGGUCAUAGAAGUUUUGACUUUUUCCAUUCAGCAGCAUGUUGCCCCUAUUUGUGAUAUGCUCAAGAAGGUCUGCUUUAAGAACACUGAUAUCUUCGUGCUGACGGAUGUGCUCCUCGUGAAGGGUAAGCCACAAUGACCAUGUUUCUUUCAAAGCAUUGAGUGCAGGCUGGUAAUCAAACUUAGAGCCUUUUUCUUUAAAACACUCAGGGACCUCAUUCGGCCCCAUUCCUGACAGGUCAUCUCUCUCCUGUUUUGUGAAGUUGCCAUGAAACUUGUCAAGAAAUUCACAAAAUGUGCCAAACAGGUCCUCUUUCAUUUUUAUUUCGAGAAGCUCAUCUGUCUCCAUAUCUUUGAUGCGUUGGACUUCGUACUCCUCUCUCAAUUGUCUCAUGAUCUCCACAGGCUGGCCCUGGUAUGCUGGGGCAAGGUUAUCCCCACAGAGGAUCAUCUGGGCCAUGCCCGGGUUUCCCUUCCGACCAGUUCUUCCAAACACCUGUUUCUCCACUCUGCGACUGCCAGGGUAAUGUGUCAGGAGGACGAAGAGGCCACCACGUAUGUUGACAUCCUGAUCAACCUUGAUAUCAGUUCCACGACCUCCUAGAUUUGUGGCUAUUAUUACAUGUCCCCCUCUGAAUUUGGUUCUCUCAAUGUUGUGUUUCUCACUGAUUGUGUAUAAUGUGAUGGGGGGAUGUGGAUUCUCGCUCUCUAUUUUAUUCAGAAGCUCGUUUGCAGUCUUGACAUCUUCACAUAUGACCAAGACAACCUGACCACUUUCUGCCACCCUCAUUGCUGUCUUACAGAGGAUCUCCAUCCACUGGGCUUGCCCAUUGACCUGAAUUGCUGGAAGCUCAACAACCUUCUUAUGGCGAUGAGCUGGUAUUAUGUAGCUGUCUGUUUCGUAAUGCCUUGCAAGGAAAUCUUUGUC